GAUUGUUAUCCCCUCCGGUGGGCGUGGUUUUCAGAGAUUGUGUGUGCAAACCAAUCUUGACCGCACGAAUUUCAAAUUAUCCCGCUCAUUUCAAAUCGCUUGUGGUCGAGUCGACAGUUGCCAGGACACUUGAUUUAUUUUCUUUAGAACGAAAUAUUAGCUGAGAUUAAUCUAGUAAUCUCAGCUAAUUUAAUUUAGUUGAUUUGGCUAAUUUAGUUCGUCAGUUGUAGCAGUAGUCGUAGUUCUAAUAUUUGACUAGACAAGCGGUAGCAGUAGCAGAUGGCUAGUUCGUGUUUUAAGAUUUGGUUAGACUAGUUUUUAUUAUUGUACAUAACUUGUCUUAAUUGUAAUAUUUGUCUAACAUUUUGAAUUGCAGUAUUUUCCCAUUUUAGUAUUCAUAUUUAAUUGCAGCAGUAGGUUAAUUCUAGCUUUUGUCUAGCUAAUGCUAGCUAACAGCAUAGAUUUCACAUGUUGCAACGGUUGAAUAUAUUUGGUCGGCCAGUGGAUGAUUUCUCACUUGCAGUUUUGCAGUCAGCUGUUCUCGCCAGUGCAUUUUGAACGACACUGAAGUUGGCUCCCGAUUCGAAAAUUCGAGGUCUAGAUGGGUUUUGCAACUCGCCUCCGAGAUCGGUGGUGUUCUGAACGGGGGAGCGGGGGCAUCCACCACUGCCACUCAGGCCAGACCAUCUGACCCUAACGCCGGAUGUCCCCCAAGCCAACUGGUGAGAAGGUCAAGGCAUGAUGACCCCAGCUACCAUCUCUCUGCCGUGGAGACUGCAGAGGACUGAGAGAGUGGCAGAGGGCAAGUCUGAGGUGAAUCACAUACAAUAUGUCCAAAAGCAUGAAGACCAGCGCCGGCCUGGAUAUGGAGUAGCACAGAGUACUGGACCUCUACAAAUGACACUUUCCACAAUUUGAUAAUUUUAAUAAUUGCAGCCAGAAAUGUUGUGCCCUUUUCUGGGAAUAUUGAGCUGAGGUGAUUUCAUUCCAUCUUUAUCUUAACAUUUUGUUACUUUCAGCUUUAAAAGGAUUUGUUUGCAUGAACUGUCAUGGCUGAUUUACUGUAGAAUGCAAGCUGCUGUGCUGUAUUACAGUGAGACUCCUUACAUUCUCCAAUGCCUUAAAACUUAAGAAGAGUUAUCAAUUAAUAAAAUACAGGCAACGUAGCCUACCUAAGACUGGGAGACGUUAUACCAUUAAGUAAGAACUAUUAAGUUACAAUUUUGUACAACAACGUAUUCCAUUUUAGAAACGGAAGUCAGUGUAUGGAUUUGUUUAUUCUGGAAACGCGUAUGAGAGAAAUGUGAAAUAAGUCUGACAAUGUAAAACAGUAUGAUUUUUAAGAAUAUUUGCAAACUAAAUUGUAUAAAAGUUGUCCCGCAUCAGCGAGGAUAGUACCUAAACUUUAUUGUGUAAUUAUGUAACUCUACCUAGAAAAUGUUAAGAUUAACAAAUUGAUAGUUAUCCUUAAACGAUAUCAGUCGAAUAGCCAAACGUUAAUUGAUGACGCUCGGGGAACGCAGUUGAAGGUCAGAGUAAGUUUAAUUAUCUCCCGCCUGAAACAAGUGCGUUAUGUACACUGUUUUACAGAAGAAAAUGUAUUAUGAAUUUAUUUGCGCUGGGCAACAACAUUUAAAAAAAUUAAUAUUACUUGCAUUUACGAAAAACAUUUCUAAUAAUAAUAAUUAGUGUUACUGUUUUUGCUUCCCGA